rnacentral:lncRNA from 1 species
GGGAGGUUGGUAAAAAGGAAAAUACGUACAGAUCGCCUCAGGAGAUGACAGGAGCUUCUUUCCCUGAACUGGCUUGGAACACAGAAGUAAAAACAUUCCAUGGCAUUUGUAUUUCAUCUAUGCACUUCAACUCUACCCAUCACUAUAGUGUCUGCUGGUCUUUCAUUCUCUGAAAUUAUAAUGGAGGAGAAAAAUUAUAUACGAAGAUGAACGAAACCAGCUCUGGGCAGUUACUCAAGAUCAAGAUGAAAGUAAAUUAUCUCAGAAAAUAGGGGAACACCAUGAAAGUUCUG